AAAUAUUUGGGGAAGAUAUUCCUGAAGCUACUGAUAUUAUGAUUCCAAGAUGGUAUUCCGACAGAUUUUACAGGGGUACCUUCACUAAUUGGCCUGAACAAGAAGUAUAAAAAUCUUAGGGCUCCAGUUGGCAGAGUCUUCUUCACUGGGGAACACACACACCCAGAACUCUUCGGCUACGCAGACGGGGCUUAUUUUGCAGGUCUUUUUGAGCUAAAUGACUCUUUAAAUGCAUCCUUUUUUAUGGGCAUAAUUUGUCAUAUUUCAUUUUUUUUAAACUUUGAUUAUAGCCAAGGGAAAAGCUACAUGGGGCCAGGGAACGCUUGUUCCCUCUUGUUGAAAUUCGACACUUUGUAUUUGUA